rnacentral:lncRNA from 1 species
AUACCAAACUCCACUCCUAAACAUCCCACCAUCAUACCAAGCUCCACAGCCAAAUAUCUUUCCCCAAUACCCAAUUCCACCUCCAAAUUAUCAGUCUCAUUUCCAAACUACUCCCUCAAAUAGCCAAACAAAUUUUCAAACACCUCCAAAUUACCACCAAGUACCCCUUCCUACAAACCUAAGCCCGUAUAACCCCCAGCGUCC